UGUCAGGAUGGAUGAACUAAUUGCUGGGC
rnacentral:piRNA from 1 species